GACGAACGCUGGCGGCGUGCUUAACACAUGCAAGUCGAACGGUGAAGCGCCUUCCUUUUUGGUGGGUGUGGAUGAGUGGCGAACGGGUGAGUAACACGUGAGUAACCUGCCCCCUUCUUCUGGAUAACCGCAUGAAAGUGUGGCUAAUACGGGAUAUUCUGGGUCUGUCGCAUGAUGGGUCUGGGAAAGAUAUUGUUUCGGUGGGGGAUGGGCUCGCGGCCUAUCAGCUUGUUGGUGGGGUGAUGGCCUACCAAGGCGGUGACGGGUAGCCGGCCUGAGAGGGUGGACGGUCACACUGGGACUGAGACACGGCCCAGACUCCUACGGGAGGCAGCAGUGGGGAACAUUGCACAAUGGGCGCAAGCCUGAUGCAGCGACGCCGCGUGAGGGAUGGAGGCCUUCGGGUUGUGAACCUCUUUCGCCAGUGAAGCAGGCCUGCCUCGUUUGUGGGUGGGUUGACGGUAGCUGGAUAAGAAGCGCCGGCUAACUACGUG
rnacentral:rRNA from 1 species